rnacentral:rRNA from 1 species
GAUGAACGCUAGCGGCAGGCCUACCUCAUGCAAGUCGAGGGGUAAAAGGAGCUUGCUCCUUUGAAACCGGCGCACGGGUGCGUAACGCGUAUGCAAUCUGCCUUGUACAGAGGGAUAGCCCAAAAAAAUUUGGAUUAAUACCUCAUAGUGUAAUGAUAUGGCAUCAUAUUAUUACUAAAGCUUCGGCGGUACAAAAUGAGCAUGCGUCCCAUUAGCUAGUUGGUAAGGUAACGGCUUACCAAGGCUACAAUGGGUAGGGGUCCUGAAAGGGAAAUCCCCCACACUGGUACUGAAACACGGACCAAACUCCUACGGGAGGCAGCAGUGAGGAAUAUUGGUCAAUGGUCGAAAAACUGAACCAGCCAUGCCGCGUGAAGGAUGAAGGCCCUCUGGGUUGUAAACUUCUUUUAUCUGGAACAAAAAAAGGUCAUUCCUGACCACUUGACGGUACCAAAGGAAUAAGCACCGGCUAACUCCGUG